AUUGAACGCUGGCGGCAGGCCUAACACAUGCCAGUCGAGCGGAUGAAGGGAGCUUGCUCCUGGAUUCAGCGGCGGACGGGUGAGUAAUGCCUAGGAAACUGCCUGGUAGUGGGGGAUAACGUCCGGAAACGGGCGCUAAUACCGCAUACGUCCUGAGGGAGAAAGUGGGGGAUCUUCGGACCUCACGCUAUCAGAUGAGCCUAGGUCGGAUUAGCUAGUUGGUGGGGUAAAGGCCUACCAAGGCGACGAUCCGUAACUGGUCUGAGAGGAUGAUCAGUCACACUGGAACUGAGACACGGUCCAGACUCCUACGGGAGGCAGCAGUGGGGAAUAGUGGACAAUGGGCGAAAGCCUGAUCCAGCCAUGCCGCGUGUGUGAAGAAGGUCUUCGGAUUGUAAAGCACUUUAAGUUGGGAGGAAGGGCAGUAAGUUAAUACCUUGCUGUUUUGACGUUACCAACAGAAUAAGCACCGGCUAACUUCGUG
rnacentral:rRNA from 1 species